rnacentral:rRNA from 1 species
UACGAAGGGUGCAAGCGUUAAUCGGAAUUACUGGGCGUAAAGGGUGCGUAGGCGGUUGUUUAAGUCUGUCGUGAAAUCCCCGGGCUCAACCUGGGAAUGGCGAUGGAUACUGGCGAGCUAGAGUGUGUCAGAGGAUGGUGGAAUUCCCGGUGUAGCGGUGAAAUGCGUAGAGAUCGGGAGGAACAUCAGUGGCGAAGGCGGCCAUCUGGGACAACACUGACGCUGAAGCACGAAAGCGUGGGGAGCAAACCGG